rnacentral:rRNA from 1 species
GAUGAACGCUGGCGGCGUGCCUAAUACAUGCAAGUCGAGCGAACGGACGCGAAGCUUGCUUCUCUGAUGUUAGCGGCGGACGGGUGAGUAACACGUGGAUAACCUACCUAUAAGACUGGGAUAACUUCGGGAAACCGGAGCUAAUACCGGAUAAUAUUUUGAACCGCAUGGUUCAAAAGUGAAAGACGGUCUUGCUGUCACUUAUAGAUGGAUCCGCGCUGCAUUAGCUAGUUGGUAAGGUAACGGCUUACCAAGGCAACGAUGCAUAGCCGACCUGAGAGGGUGAUCGGCCACACUGGAGCGGAGACACGGUCCAGACGACUACGGGAGGCAGCAGUAGGGAAUCUUACGCAAUGGGCGGAAGCCUGACGGAGCAGCGCCGCGUGAGUGAUGAAGGUCUUCGGAGCGUAAUACUCUGUUAUUAGGGAAGAACAUAUGUGUAAGUAACUGUGCACAUCUUGACGGUACCUAGUCAGAAAGCCACGGCUAACUACGUG